UGGGAGAUGCUGAGCAGCAGAAGUGCCUGG
rnacentral:piRNA from 1 species